rnacentral:rRNA from 1 species
AUUGAACGCUGGCGGCAGGCCUAACACAUGCAAGUCGAACGAGUGGCGGACGGGUGAGUAAUGUCUGGGAAACUGCCUGAUGGAGGGGGAUAACUACUUGAAACGGUAGCUAAUACCGCAUACCAUCAGAUGUGCCCAGAUGGGAUUAGCUGGUUGGUGGGGUAACGGCUCACCAAGGCGACGAUCCCUAGCUGGUCUGAGAGGAUGACCAGCAAAACUGGAACGGAGACACGGGCCAGACUCCUACGGGAGGCAGCAGUGGGGAACAUUGCACAAUGGGCGCAAGCCUGAUGCAGCCAGGCCGCGGGGAUGAAGAAGGCCUGCGGGUUGUAAAGUACGUUCAGCGGGGAGGCGUUACCCGCAGAAGAAGCACCGGCUAACUCCGUGCCAGCCGCCGCGGUAAUAC